AUUGAACGCUGGCGGCAGGCCUAACACAUGCAAGUCGAGCGGAUGAAGAGAGCUUGCUCUCUGAUUUAGCGGCGGACGGGUGAGUAAUGCCUAGGAAUCUGCCUGGUAGUGGGGGAUAACGUUCCGAAAGGAACGCUAAUACCGCGUACGUCCUACGGGAGGAAGCAGGGGACCUUCGGGCCUUGCGCUAUCAGAUGAGCCUAGGUCGGAUUAGCUAGUUGGUGAGGUAAUGGCUCACCAAGGCGACGAUCCGUAACUGGUCUGAGAGGAUGAUCAGUCACACUGGAACUGAGACACGGUCCAGACUCCUACGGGAGGCAGCAGUGGGGAAUAUUGGACAAUGGGCGAAAGCCUGAUCCAGCCAUGCCGCGUGUGUGAAGAAGGUCUUCGGAUUGUAAAGCACUUUAAGUUGGGAGGAAGGGCAGUAAGUUAAUACCUUGCUGUUUUGACGUUACCGACAGAAUAAGCACCGGCUAACUUCGUGCCAGCAGCCGCGGUAAUAC
rnacentral:rRNA from 1 species